rnacentral:rRNA from 1 species
GACGAACGCUGGCGGCGUGCUUAACACAUGCAAGUCGAACGGUGAAGCGCCUUCCUUUUUGGUGGGUGUGGAUGAGUGGCGAACGGGUGAGUAACACGUGAGUAACCUGCCCCCUUCUUCUGGAUAACCGCAUGAAAGUGUGGCUAAUACGGGAUAUUCUGGGUCUGUCGCAUGAUGGGUCUGGGAAAGAUAUUGUUUCGGUGGGGGAUGGGCUCGCGGCCUAUCAGCUUGUUGGUGGGGUGAUGGCCUACCAAGGCGGUGACGGGUAGCCGGCCUGAGAGGGUGGACGGUCACACUGGGACUGAGACACGGCCCAGACUCCUACGGGAGGCAGCAGUGGGGAAUACUGCACAAUGGGCGCAAGCCUGAUGCAGCGACGCCGCGUGAGGGAUGGAGGCCUUCGGGUUGUGAACCUCUUUCGCCAGUGAAGCAGGCCUGCCUCGUUUGUGGGUGGGUUGACGGUAGCUGGAUAAGAAGCGCCGGCUAACUACGU